rnacentral:rRNA from 1 species
UUGUCUCAAAGAUUAAGCCAUGCAUGUCUCAGUACAAGCCAAAUUAAGGUGAAACCGCGAAAGGCUCAUUAAAUCAGUUAUGGUUCCUUAGAUCGUACCCACAUUUACUUGGAUAACUGUGGUAAUUCUAGAGCUAAUACAUGCAAACCGAGCUCCAACCGGAAACGGAAGGAGCGCUUUUAUUAGAUCAAAACCAAUCGGUGGCGGUCUCCGUCAUCGUACAAUUUGGUGACUCUGAAUAACUUUACGCUGAUCGCACGGUCUCGCACCGGCGACGCAUCUUUCAAAUGUCUGCCUUAUCAACUGUCGAUGGUAGGUUCUGCGCCUACCAUGGUUGUAACGGGUAACGGGGAAUCAGGGUUCGAUUCCGGAGAGGGAGCCUGAGAAACGGCUACCACAUCCAAGGAAGGCAGCAGGCGCGCAAAUUACCCACUCCCGGCACGGGGAGGUAGUGACGAAAAAUAACGAUACGGGACUCAUCCGAGGCCCCGUAAUCGGAAUGAGUACACUCUAAACCCUUUAACGAGGAUCAAUUGGAGGGCAAGUCUGGUGCCAGCAGCCGCGGUAAUUCCAGCUCCAAUAGCGUAUAUUAAAGUUGUUGCGGUUAAA